rnacentral:rRNA from 1 species
AAGGAAUAUUGGACAAUGGGCGCAAGCCUGAUCCAGCCAUCCCGCGUGCUUGAUGAAGGCCCUCUGGGUUGUAAAGAGCUUUAGUCUGGGAAGAAACCGUUUUCUGCGGAAGACGCUGACGGUACCAGAAGAAUAAGCACCGGCUAACUCCGUGCCAGCAGCCGCGGUAAUACGGAGGGUGCAAGCGUUAUCCGGAACCACUGGGUUUAAAGGGUGCGUAGGCGGUCUGAUAAGUCAGAGGUGAAAGCCUGCAGCUUAACUGUAGAAUUGCCUUUGAUACUGUCAGACUUGAAUGGGGUCGAGGUCGGCGGAAUGUGGCAUGUAGCGGUGAAAUGCAUAGAUAUGCCAUAGAACACCAAUUGCGAAGGCAGCUGACUAGGCCUGUAUUGACGCUGAGGCACGAAAGCGUGGGGAGCAAAC